ensembl:snRNA U6 U6 spliceosomal RNA
GUGCUCACUUUGGCAGCACACACACUAAAAUUGGAAUGAUACAGAGAUUAGCAUGGACCCUGCACAAAGAUGACAUGCAAACUGGUGAAGCAUUUCAUAUUUUU